GAUGAACGCUGGCGGCGUGCCUAAUACAUGCAAGUCGAGCGAAUGGAUUAAGAGCUUGCUCUUAUGAAGUUAGCGGCGGACGGGUGAGUAACACGUGGGUAACCUGCCCAUAAGACUGGGAUAACUCCGGGAAACCGGGGCUAAUACCGGAUAACAUUUUGAACCGCAUGGUUCGAAAUUGAAAGGCGGCUUCGGCUGUCACUUAUGGAUGGACCCGCGUCGCAUUAGCUAGUUGGUGAGGUAAAGGCUCACCAAGGCAACGAUGCGUAGCCCACGUAGGGGGGGGAUCGGCCACACUGGGACUGAGAAACGGCCCAGACUCCUACGGGAGGCAGCAGUAGGGAAUCUUCCGCAAUGGACGAAAGUCUGACGGAGCAACGCCGCGUGAGUGAUGAAGGCUUUCGGGUCGUAAAACUCUGUUGUUAGGGAAGAACAAGUACUAGUUGAAUAAGCUGACACCUUGACGGUACCUAACCAGAAAGCCACGGCUAACUACGUGCCAGCCGCCGCCGUAA
rnacentral:rRNA from 1 species